AAGAAGAUGCCAGCUGUCUUAGCAAGGAGGAAGGGGUACAUGGUGGUUGGGUGGGAAACCAAGUCUUCAUCACAGGAAUUUACCUUGGAGGGUAUUAUGCAUUGAAUGUUUGUGUCCCCUGCAAAUUCAUAUUUUGAAAUUCUAAAGCCCAAGGUGAUCGUAUCGGAGGUGGGGCCUUUGGGAAGUGAUUAGGUCAUAAGUGUAGAGCCCUCGUGAAUGGUAUUAGUGACCGAAUAAAAGGCACCCCAAAUAACUCUCUCACCCUCUUUUUUCUGGGUGGGGAGACAAUGAGAAAAUCACUGUCUGCAGCAUGGAAAAAGAUCCUCACCAGAACCAGAUCAUGUUGGCACCCGAAUCUUGGACUUCCAGCUUCCAGAACUGUUUUUCUUUUUCUUUAACAGCUAAACAAGCACUGGCCUCAAGAUAAGCAAUAUUAAAACAAUUACAGCUCAUCCAGCUGGCAGAUGCUGAUUAACUGACCCCCUGUUUCACCAGCCACAACUACAGCUUGGAUUGGACAAGGAACUGAUUUCAGUAACUUUCUCCUGAUAAGAAGACCAGCGACCAUGGACUGCUUCUGGCCAAUUUACAGAGAUUGUGGACUCGUAUGCUUUCAUGUCCUGAAAAGACCCUUUGAUGCAUAGGGCCUAAUUAUAAUACAGUUAAAUGUUGUAUCUCCACCCCAAAGUGAACAUGGGUCAUAUGUCACAUGCAUGUGUGUUAAACACACAUGCAUCAGGACCUCCUUCAUGAAUAUUCAUAGCUUCUCCUGUAACCUGUUGAAUAUGUAUGUUUAGCCAAAACAUUUACCAUAAAUAUCUUACCUCAACCCCUCCUUCAAAGUGCUUCUCUCUGGGCUGUUGGCCAGAGGCUGUGCUUCUCAGCCUGCGGAAUGGCCACUUUGUAGGCUGUAACCCUUUGCAAUAAAUAAAACCUCCCUCUUUUCUUUUCUAAAUUUAUAUAUUGUGAUUUUUUUUUUUUUUUUUUAGCUAACAUUACAGACUUGGGGGUAGAAUGGGAACUGCCUUCCAAGACUUUGUUAUUGGCUGAAUUCUGUACCCCCAAAAGUCAUAUGUUGAAGUCCUGACCCCCAGUACCUCAGACUGUGAAUAUAUUUGGUGAUAUGGUCUGUAAAGAAGUAAAUAAGUUAAAAAUGAGGCUAUCAGGGUCAGCCCUAAUUCAAUAAGACUGGUUGUCUUGUAAGAAGAGAUUAAGACGCACACAUACACAGAGACAAGAUGACCAUCUACAAGCUAAGGAGGGAGGCAUCAGAAGAAACCAGUUCUGCUGACACCUUGAUCUCAGACUCCCAGCCUCCAGACUUGUGAGACAAUAAAAAGUCUAUUGUUUAAGCCAC
rnacentral:lncRNA from 1 species